GCGGGUGUAGUACAAUGGCAGUAUGGCUGCUUCCCAAGCAGCAGACGUGGGUUCGAUUCCCAUCACCCGCU
rnacentral:tRNA from 1 species